GACGAACGCUGGCGGCGUGCUUAACACAUGCAAGUCGAACGAUGAAGCCGGAGCUUGCUCUGGUGAAUUAGUGGCGAACGGGUGAGUAACACGUGAGUAACCUGCCCUCGACUCUGGGAUAACUGCGGGAAACUGUAGCUAAUACCGGAUACGACCCUCGGAGGCAUCUCCUGGGGGUGGAAAGAAUGUCGGUCAAGGAUGGACUCGCGGCCUAUCAGCUAGUUGGUGAGGUAAAGGCUCACCAAGGCGACGACGGGUAGCCGGCCUGAGAGGGUGACCGGCCACACUGGGACUGAGACACGGCCCAGACUCCUACGGGAGGCAGCAGUGGGGAAUAUUGCACAAUGGGCGCAAGCCUGAUGCAGCAACGCCGCGUGAGGGAUGACGGCCUUCGGGUUGUAAACCUCUUUUAGCAGGGAAGAGGCGAAAGUGACGGUACCUGCAGAAAAAGCACCGGCUAACUACGUGCCAGCCGCCGCCGUAA
rnacentral:rRNA from 1 species